AGAAUCAACGCUGGCGGCGUGCCUAACACAUGCAAGUCGAACGCGGUUACCCCGCAAGGGGUAACUGAGUGGCAGACGGGUGAGUAACGCGUGGGUGACCUACCUUCGAGUGGGGGAUAACGUUUCGAAAGGAACGCUAAUACCGCAUGACAUCCUGCCUUUGGACAGGCGGAGAUCAAAGCCGGGGAUCGUAAGACCUGGCGCUUAAAGAGGGGCCCGCGUCCGAUUAGCUAGUUGGUGGGGUAACGGCUCACCAAGGCGACGAUCGGUA
rnacentral:rRNA from 1 species